CCUACGGGAGGCAGCAGUGAGGAAUAUUGGACAAUGGAGGAAACUCUGAUCCAGCAAUGCCGCGUGUGUGAUGAAGGCCCUAGGGUUGUAAAGCACUUUCAACGGUGAAGAUGAUGACGGUAGCCGUAGAAGAAGCCCCGGCUAACUUCGUGCCAGCAGCCGCGGUAAUACGAAGGGGGCGAGCGUUGCUCGGAAUUAUUGGGCGUAAAGGGCGCGCAGGCGGUUUGGAUAGUUAGACGUGAAAGCCCUGGGCUUAACCUAGGAACUGCGUUUAAUACUGCCAAACUAGAGAACUAGAGAGGAUAGCGGAACUCCCAGUGUAGAGGUGAAAUUCGUAGAUAUUGGGAAGAACAUCAGUGGCGAAAGCGGCUGUCUGGCUAGUUUCUGACGCUGAGGCGCGGAAGCGUGGGGAGCAAACAGGAUUAGAUACCCUGGUAGUCCACGCCGUAAACGAUGUGUGCUAGAUGUUGGAAGGUUACCUUGCAGUGUCGCAGCUAACGCGUUAAGCACACCGCCUGGGAAGUACGGUCGCAAGAUUAAAACUCAAAGGAAUUGACG
rnacentral:rRNA from 1 species